AGAGCAAACCGGGGGAACUGAAACAUCUAAGUACCCCGAGGAGAAGAAAUCAACCGAGAUUCCGGUAGUAGCGGCGAGCGAACCUGGAUUAGCCCUUAAGCACUCAGUGAAGUAGGUGAACAAGCUGGAAAGCUUGGCGAUACAGGGUGAUAGCCCCGUAACCGACGCUUCAUCGAGCGUGAAAUCGAGUAGGGCGGGACACGUGAUAUCCUGUCUGAAUAUGGGGGGACCAUCCUCCAAGGCUAAAUACUCCUGACUGACCGAUAGUGAACCAGUACCGUGAGGGAAAGGCGAAAAGAACCCCUGUGAGGGGAGUGAAAUAGAACCUGAAACCGUGUACGUACAAGCAGUAGGAGCACCUUCGUGGUGUGACUGCGUACCUUUUGUAUAAUGGGUCAGCGACUUAUAUUCAGUGGCAAGGUUAACCGUAUAGGGGAGCCGUAGCGAAAGCGAGUCUUAACUGGGCGCUCAGUCUCUGGAUAUAGACCCGAAACCGGGUGAUCUAGCCAUGGGCAGGUUGAAGGUUGAGUAACAUCAACUGGAGGACCGAACCGACUAAUGUUGAAAAAUUAGCGGAUGACUUGUGGCUAGGGGUGAAAGGCCAAUCAAACUCGGAGAUAGCUGGUUCUCCCCGAAAGCUAUUUAGGUAGCGCCUCGGACGAAUACUACUGGGGGUAGAGCACUGUUAAGGCUAGGGGGUCAUCCCGACUUACCAACCCUUUGCAAACUCCGAAUACCAGUAAGUACUAUCCGGGAGACACACGGCGGGUGCUAACGUCCGUCGUGGAGAGGGAAACAACCCAGACCGCCAGCUAAGGUCCCAAAGUAUUGCUAAGUGGGAAACGAUGUGGGAAGGCUCAGACAGCUAGGAUGUUGGCUUAGAAGCAGCCAUCAUUUAAAGAAAGCGUAAUAGCUCACUAGUCGAGUCGGCCUGCGCGGAAGAUGUAACGGGGCUAAGCAAUACACCGAAGCUGCGGCAAUAUCUUUUAGAUAUUGGGUAGGGGAGCGUUCUGUAAGCCGUUGAAGGUGAAUCGUAAGGUUUGCUGGAGGUAUCAGAAGUGCGAAUGCUGACAUGAGUAACGACAAAGGGGGUGAAAAACCUCCUCGCCGGAAGACCAAGGGUUCCUGUCCAACGUUAAUCGGGGCAGGGUGAGUCGACCCCUAAGGUGAGGCCGAAAGGCGUAAUCGAUGGGAAACGGGUUAAUAUUCCCGUACUUCUGACUAUUGCGAUGGGGGGACGGAGAAGGCUAGGUGGGCCAGGCGACGGUUGUCCUGGUUCAAGUGCGUAGGCUUGAGAGUUAGGUAAAUCCGGCUCUCUCUAAGGCUGAGACACGACGUCGAGCUGCUACGGCAGUGAAGUCAUUGAUGCCAUGCUUCCAGGAAAAGCCUCUAAGCUUCAGAUAGUCAGGAAUCGUACCCCAAACCGACACAGGUGGUCGGGUAGAGAAUACCAAGGCGCUUGAGAGAACUCGGGUGAAGGAACUAGGCAAAAUGGUACCGUAACUUCGGGAGAAGGUACGCUCUUGAUGGUGAAGUCCCUCGCGGAUGGAGCUGACGAGAGUCGCAGAUACCAGGUGGCUGCAACUGUUUAUUAAAAACACAGCACUGUGCAAAAUCGCAAGAUGACGUAUACGGUGUGACGCCUGCCCGGUGCCGGAAGGUUAAUUGAUGGGGUUAGCGCAAGCGAAGCUCUUGAUCGAAGCCCCGGUAAACGGCGGCCGUAACUAUAACGGUCCUAAGGUAGCGAAAUUCCUUGUCGGGUAAGUUCCGACCUGCACGAAUGGCGUAAUGAUGGCCACGCUGUCUCCACCCGAGACUCAGUGAAAUUGAAAUCGCUGUGAAGAUGCAGUGUACCCGCGGCUAGACGGAAAGACCCCGUGAACCUUUACUACAGCUUGGCACUGAACAUUGAACCUACAUGUGUAGGAUAGGUGGGAGGCUUUGAAGACGUGACGCCAGUUGCGUUGGAGCCGUCCUUGAAAUACCACCCUUGUAUGUUUGAUGUUCUAACUUAGACCCAUUAUCUGGGUUGAGGACAGUGCCUGGUGGGUAGUUUGACUGGGGCGGUCUCCUCCCAAAGAGUAACGGAGGAGCACGAAGGUGGGCUAAUCACGGUUGGACAUCGUGAGGUUAGUGCAAUGGCAUAAGCCCGCUUAACUGCGAGAAUGACGGUUCGAGCAGGUGCGAAAGCAGGUCAUAGUGAUCCGGUGGUUCUGUAUGGAAGGGCCAUCGCUCAACGGAUAAAAGGUACUCCGGGGAUAACAGGCUGAUACCGCCCAAGAGUUCAUAUCGACGGCGGUGUUUGGCACCUCGAUGUCGGCUCAUCACAUCCUGGGGCUGAAGUCGGUCCCAAGGGUAUGGCUGUUCGCCAUUUAAAGUGGUACGCGAGCUGGGUUUAGAACGUCGUGAGACAGUUCGGUCCCUAUCUGCCGUGGGCGUUGGAAGAUUGAAGGGGGCUGCUCCUAGUACGAGAGGACCGGAGUGGACGAACCUCUGGUGUUCGGGUUGUGUCGCCAGACGCAUUGCCCGGUAGCUAAGUUCGGAAUUGAUAAGCGCUGAAAGCAUCUAAGCGCGAAGCGAGCCCUGAGAUGAGUCUUCCCUGAUACUUUAAGUAUCCUAAAGGGUUGUUCGAGACUAGAACGUUGAUAGGCAGGGUGUGUAAGCGUUGUGAGGCGUUGAGCUAACCUGUACUAAUUGCCCGUGAGGCUUAACCA
rnacentral:rRNA from 1 species